UCCCUGGUGGCUCAGAGGGUAAAGCGUCUGCCUUCAAUGCAGGAGACCUGGGUUCGAUCCCUGGGUGGGGAA
rnacentral:tRNA from 1 species